rnacentral:rRNA from 1 species
ACGAACGCUGGCGGCGUGCUUAACACAUGCAAGUCGAACGCUGAAGCUCAGCUUUUGUUGGGUGGAUGAGUGGCGAACGGGUGAGUAACACGUGAGUAACCUGCCUCCUUCUUUGGGAUAACGCCCGGAAACGGGUGCUAAUACUGGAUAUUCACUGGUCUUCGCAUGGGGGUUGGUGGAAAGGGUUUUUCUGGUGGGGGAUGGGCUCGCGGCCUAUCAGCUUGUUGGUGGGGUGAUGGCCUACCAAGGCUUUGACGGGUAGCCGGCCUGAGAGGGUGACCGGUCACAUUGGGACUGAGAUACGGCCCAGACUCCUACGGGAGGCAGCAGUGGGGAAUAAUGCACAAUGGGCGCAAGCCUGAUGCAGCGACGCCGCGUGAGGGAUGGAGGCCUUCGGGUUGUGAACCUCUUUCGCUCAUGGUCAAGCCGCAACAAUGGUUGUGGUGAGGGUAGUGGGUAAAGAAGCGCCGGCUAACUACGUG